rnacentral:rRNA from 1 species
AUUGAACGCUGGCGGCAUGCUUUACACAUGCAAGUCGAAUGGUAACAGGCCGCAAGGUGCUGACGAGUGGCGAACGGGUGAGUAAUGCAUCGGAACGUGCCCAGUCGUGGGGGAUAACGCAGCGAAAGCCGCGCUAAUACCGCAUACGAUCUAUGGAUGAAAGCGGGGGACCGGAAGGCCUCGCGCGAUUGGAGCGGCCGAUGUCAGAUUAGGUAGGUGGGGGGGUAAAGGCGCACCAAGCCAACGAUAUGUAGCUGGUCUGAGAGGACGAACAGCGACACUGGGACGGGGACACGGCCCAGACUCCUACGGGAGGCAGCAGUGGGGAAUUUUGGACAAUGGGGGCAAGCCUGAUCCAGCCAUGCCGCGUGCAGGAUGAAGGCCUUCGGGUUGUAAACUGCUUUUGUACGGAACGAAAAGGUUUGGCCUAAUAAGCUGAGCUCAUGACGGUACCGUAAGAAUAAGCACCGGCUAACUACGUGCCAGCAGCCGCGGUAAGAC